UUUUUUAAAAGUCUAUCCCAAUCCUUGGGAUUUUUUUUAAAAAGUCUAUCCCAAUCCUUGGGAUUCUUUAAAAAGUCUAUCCCAUUCCUUGGGAUUUUUUUAAAAAGUCUAUCCCACUUCUUGGGAUUUUCUAAAAAGUCUAUCCCGAUGUUGGGAUUUUUUAAAAAGUCUAUCCCAAUCCUUGGGAUUUUUUUAAAAAGUCUAUCCCAAUCCUUGGGAUUUAAAAAAGUCUAUCCCACUUCUUGGGAUUUUUUAAAAAGUCUAUCCCAUUCCUUGGGAUUUUUUAAAAAGUCUAUCCCAAUCUUUGGGAUUUUUUAAAAAAGUCUAUCCCACUUCUUGGGAUUUUUUUAAAAAGUCUAUCCCAAUCCUUGGGAUUUUUUUUUUAAAAUUCUAUCCCGAUGUUGGGAUUUUUUAAAAAGUCUAUCCCAAUCCUUGGAAUUUUUUAAAAAAGUCUAUCCCAAUCCUUGGGAUUAAAAAAGUCUAUCCCACUUCUUGGGAUUUUUUUAAAAAGUCUAUCCCAAUCCUUGGGAUUUUUUUUUUUAAAAGUCUAUCCCGAUGUUGGGAUAUUUUUAAAAAAUCUAUCCCAAUCCUUGGGAUUUUUUAAAAAGUCUGUCCCAAUCCUUGGGAUUAAAAAAGUCUAUCCCACUUCUUGGGAUUUUUUAAAAAGUCGAUGCCUGAAAGCCUGGCUCCUUGAGGGAUCGACUUUUUUCCUUGGAAGAAAAAGUCGAUCUUCAAAAAGUCGAUCCCCAGUGUACUUGGAGGAUUCCUUGGAAGUUGAUGCCUGAAAGCCUAGCUCCUUGAGGGAUCGACUUUUUUUCCUUGGAAGAAAAAGUCGAUCUUCUGAAAUGUCGAUCCCUUGCUGGCUGAUUUCCUCGCGAGACUCCCUAGCUGGCGACUUGGAAAAAAGUCGAUCACUUUUUUCGAAAAAGUCGAGGAGCUUUUGUCGUGAGUAUCUUUGAGUCACAGACGGCGCCAACUGAUGGGGGUGAAACCCGACCAGUACUCCAAGACGCGCA
rnacentral:lncRNA from 1 species